rnacentral:rRNA from 1 species
UACGAAGGGGGCUAGCGUUGCUCGGAAUCACUGGGCGUAAAGGGUGCGUAGGCGGGUCUUUAAGUCAGGGGUGAAAUCCUGGAGCUCAACUCCAGAACUGCCUUUGAUACUGAAGAUCUUGAGUCCGGGAGAGGUGAGUGGAACUGCGAGUGUAGAGGUGAAAUUCGUAGAUAUCGGGAGGAACACCAGUGGCGAAGGCG